rnacentral:rRNA from 1 species
UACGUAGGUGGCAAGCGUUGUCCGGAUUUAUUGGGUUUAAAGGGUGCGUAGGCGGUCUAUUAAGUCAGUUGUGAAAUACGGCAGCUCAACUGUCGAGGUGCAAUUGAUACUGAUGGACUUGAGUACUGAUGAGGUAAGCGGAGUGGACGGUGUAGCGGUGAAAUGCUUAGAUAUCGUCCAGAACACCGAUAGCGAAGGCAGCUUACUAAGGAGUAACUGACGCUGAGGCACGAAAGUGUGGGGAUCAAACAGG